rnacentral:misc_RNA from 1 species
AAGUCGUAACAAGGUUUCCGUAGGUGAACCUGCGGAAGGAUCAUUAAUAAGUGCUAGGCGCCGCAAGGCAACUGGCCCAGUGUCGCGGUGCGGACCCUCACCGGUCCGUAUGGUGCUGGAGAUUCGUCUCAGGCACUCUUGUGCGGGGAGAGAAAUCUUCGUUGCGCAAGCCGGGGCAUAACCCCCACCCUAUGUUAAUUCUACCUUUGUUGCUUUGGCGGGCCGCGCUUCAGCGCUCUCGGCUCCGGCUGAGACGUGCCCGCCAGAGGACCCAACUCUUGAUUUUAGUGAUGUCUGAGU